rnacentral:ribozyme from 1 species
GAUGCUUUGACUCAUUCACCUCCACACGGUAAGUGUCGGGAAACGUUGUACAUCAGCGGCUAAGAAAUGAGA